rnacentral:rRNA from 1 species
AGUGAACGCUGGCGGUAGGCCUAACACAUGCAAGUCGAACGGCAGCACAGUAAGAGCUUGCUCUUACGGGUGGCGAGUGGCGGACGGGUGAGGAAUACAUCGGAUUCUACUUUUUCGUGGGGGAUAACGUAGGGAAACUUACGCUAAUACCGCAUACGUCCUACGGGUGAAAGCAGGGGAUCUUCGGACCUUGCGCGAUUGAAUGAGCCGAUGUCGGAUUAGCUAGUUGGCGGGGUAAAGGCCCACCAAGGCGACGAUCCGUAGCUGGUCUGAGAGGAUGAUCAGCCACACUGGAACUGAGACACGGUCCAGACUCCUACGGGAGGCAGCAGUGGGGAAUAUUGGACAAUGGGCGCAAGCCUGAUCCAGCCAUACCGCGUGAGUGAAGAAGGCCUUCGGGUUGUAAAGCCCUUUUGUUGGGAAAGAAAAGCAGCAGGUUAAUACCCCGCUGUUCUGACGGUACCCAAAGAAUAAGCACCGGCUAACUUCGUG